UAAGUGAUAUUAAAGUAAUAAAAAGUAGAUCAUAACAACAUGGCAAGCCAACGUGUGGUGUGAAGGUAUCUCUGGUUGUGAAUUUGAAGGAAUAGGAAACGGAAAGACAGGUGAACGAAAAUUUAUUUGCCCGUCGGAAGAAGUUGAUAUAUUUAAAAUUUAUGAAAUAUUUUGUUUGGAGUUAAUUUAUCUAGGUACAGUUUUACAUAUAUUUAUUUUAUUUUUGAUUGAUUUGAAUUUUGAUAAAUUUAAAAAUUUGUGUGAUAAAUUGAUUAUAUUUGGGGAGAGAAAGAUUUUCGUCUCUACCGCAUACAAGGUGUUUUCGAAUUUCGUAUGAGGCGGG
rnacentral:lncRNA from 1 species